rnacentral:lncRNA from 1 species
AUUGGAUGCAGCAAGGGAAGUGUUACCGUUGCGGCGUUCAGAACGACCACAUCAGCUCGCGCUGUCCGAAUCCGCUGGUAACACCGGAGAUGUUUCGCCAGCCAGAGAACCCAUAGGAGUUUGCCCAGUCGUUUUCGUGUGGCACGCGUACUGGGGACAUGAAUUCGCAUGAUUUCCGAAUUAUUGAUUAUGAGUUGUUGCGACAACUAGAGCGUCGAAUUGGACGAACGUUUUCUUUGGACGCUGCUGCGAACGAUGAUGGAAGUAAUUCUGUCUGUAAGAUGUUUGCUUCACCGACUCGCUCCUUU